CCCUCGGUUAUACAAAAAAUAUAAAUAAAUUUUAUUAGAUAUAAUUAAUUUAAUAUUAUUUUAUUUAAAUGUAAAAUUUUUAAGUGAAAUUUUAAUUUUAUAUUAAUAAUAUAAUUAAUUUAUGAAGUUAGUAAAAUUUAAUAUUAAACUAGGAUUAGAUACCCUAUUAUUUAAAUUAUAAAUUUUAAAUCUAAAGUAGUAAUAGUUAUGUUCUUGAAAUUUAAAAAAUUUGGCGGUAUUUUAAUCUAUUCAGAGGAAUCUGUUCCGUAAUCGAUAGUCCACGUUGGAUCUUACUUAAAUUUGUUUAAAUCAAUUUAUAUACCGUCGUUAUCAGAAUAUUUUAAAAGAAUAAUAAUUUUCUAAAAUUUAUAUUAAUAAUGAUGUCAGAUCAAGGUGUAGUUUAUGUUUAAGUGGAAAUGGAUUACAAUAAAGUUAUUUAUAUGAAUAAAAGUUUGUAAUUAUUUUUUGAAGGUGGAUUUGAUAGUAAAUUUUUGUAGAUUGUAAAAUUGAUUUUAGUUCUAAAAUAUGCACACAUCGCCCGUCGCUCUUAUUAUUAAAGUAAGAUAAGUCGUAACAUAGUAGAUGUACUGGAAAGUGUAUCUAGAAUG
rnacentral:rRNA from 1 species